GACGAACGCUGGCGGCGUGCUUAACACAUGCCAGUCGAACGGAAAGGCCUGCUUUCCCUUGUGGAUUGCGGGUACUCGAGUGGCGAACGGGUGAGUAACACGUGAGUGAUCUGCCCCCAACUUGGGUAUAAGCCUGGGAAACUGGGUCUAAUUCCCGAUAGGACUGCAGGGUGGUGCCUGUGGUGGAAAACGAUUUUCUAGUGGUUGGGGAUGAGCUCGCGGCCUAUCAGCUUGUUGGUGGGGUAAUGGCCUACCAAGGCGGCGACGGGUAGCCGGCCUGAGAGGGUGGACGGCCACAUUGGGACUGAGAUACGGCCCAGACUCCUACGGGAGGCAGCAGUGGGGAAUAUUGCACAAUGGGCGGAAGCCUGAUGCAGCGACGCCGCGUGGGUGAUGACGGCCUUCGGGUUGUAAACUCCUUUCGACCGCGAGGAAGCCACCUGGUUGGAAGGGUGGUGACGGUAGUGGUAGAAGAAGCACCGGCUAACUACGUG
rnacentral:rRNA from 1 species